rnacentral:snRNA from 1 species
GGAUGUGAGGGCAAUCUGGCUGCGACAUCUGUCACCCCAUUGAUCGCCAGGGUUGAUUCGGCUGAUCUGGCUGGCUAGGCGGGUGUCCCCUUCCUCCCUCACCGCUCCAUGUGCGUCCCUCCCGAAGCUGCGCGCUCGGUGGAAGAGGACGACCAUCCCCGAUAGAGGAGAGGACCGUUCCUCGGUCAAGGGUAUACGAGUAGCUGCGCUCCCCUGCUAGAACCUCCAAACAAGCUCUCAAGGAAAGCACGGAGAGGGUUUCCUUCACAAAGCCAAACUGUUCAUACAGAGAAUGUCCACUUGUA